rnacentral:rRNA from 1 species
GCGUGAUUGCAGAUUCCGUGAAUCAUCGAGUCUUUGAACGCACAUUGCGCCCCCUGGUAUUCCGGGKGGAAAGSSKGUCCGAGCGUCAUUGCUGCCCAUCAAGCACGGCUUGUGUGUUGGGUCGUCGUCCCCUCUCCGGGGGGGACGGGCCCCAAAGGCAGCGGCGGCACCGCGUCCGAUCCUCGASCYUAUGGGGCCUUGUCACCCGCUCUGUAGGCCCGGCCGGCGCUUGCCGAACGCAAAUCAAUCUUUUCCAGGUUGACCUCGGAUCAGGUAGGGAUACCCGCUGAACUUAAGCAUAUCAAUAAGCGGAGGAAU